AGUGAACGCUGGCGGUAGGCCUAACACAUGCAAGUCGAACGGCAGCACAGUAAGAUCUUGCUCUUACGGGUGGCGAGUGGCGGACGGGUGAGGAAUACAUCGGAAUCUACUUUUUCGUGGGGGAUAACGUAGGGAAACUUACGCUAAUACCGCAUACGACCUACGGGUGAAAGCAGGGGAUCUUCGGACCUUGCGCGAUUGAAUUAGCCGAUGUCGGAUUAGCUAGUUGGCGGGGUAAAGGCCCACCAAGGCGACGAUCCGUAGCUGGUCUGAGAGGAUGAUCAGCCACACUGGAACUGAGACACGGUCCAGACUCCUACGGGAGGCAGCAGUGGGGAAUAUUGGACAAUGGGCGCAAGCCUGAUGGAGCCAUACCGCGUGGGUGAAGAAGGCCUUCGGGUGGUAAAGCCCUGUUGUUGGGAAAGAAAAGCAGCAGGUUAAUACGCGGCUGUUCUGACGGUACCCAAAGAAUAAGCACCGGCUAACUUCGUG
rnacentral:rRNA from 1 species